AGCAAUAACUUUUUUUCCCUUCUGCUUCUAGAUGAAUUUAUCUGCAUGACCUUGUCAUGCAUCUGAUGCAAAGUCACCAUUAUGCAGACGGGUAUUAAAAGUGAAUUGCAAGAGAGAUUCAACAGUCAUUCAACUAAUUUCAACAGUCAAAAUUCUUCCUCUUGUCAUGGAAAAUGACUAAACCUGUUACUGAUGGCACAAAAACACAGGAGCAGUUUCAACAGGUAUUAAACCUCCCAUAAGAAUUCAGUCUGCUUCCUACAGGACACUUUGCCAGGAAGCCUUGCUAAUGUAAGUCCUAUGAAAUUUAGUAACUGAAAGAAUUUCCAUUUAGUUAUUUAAAGAAACAACUCAGAUAGUAUUUGCUUAAUUCUCAGCAUAUAGCAAAGUUAAAAAUUGUAACAAGGUCUUUUGAGUCCAAUUCCAGUUCCUUAACCACAAGGCUAUCAUUUCACUUUAGCCUCUCAACUUCAGAAUGUAGCUCUCGAAGAGAUCUUGCUAGAAAAAGCAAGCACAA
rnacentral:lncRNA from 1 species